rnacentral:rRNA from 1 species
UGGGGAAUAUUGCACAAUGGGCGCAAGCCUGAUGCAGCAAUGCCGCGUGAGUGAAGACGGCCUUAGGGUUGUAAAACUCUUUCGCUAGGGAAGAUAAUGACGGUACCUAGUAAAGAAGUCCCGGCUAACUCCGUGCCAGCAGCCGCGGUAAUACGGAGGGGGUUAGCGUUGUUCGGAAUUACUGGGCGUAAAGCGCGCGUAGGCGGCUGACUAAGUCGGGUGUGAAAGCCCCGGGCUCAACCUGGGAACUGCCUCCAAAACUAUUGGUCUAGAGUUCGAGAGAGGUGAGUGGAAUUCCAAGUGUAGAGGUGAAAUUCGUAGAUAUUUGGAGGAACACCAGUGGCGAAGGCGGCUCACUGGCUCGAUACUGACGCUGAGGUGCGAAAGUGUGGGGAGCAAACAGGAUUAGAUACCCUGGUAGUCCACACCGUAAACGAUGAAUGCCAGUCGUCGGGUAGCAUGCUAUUCGGUGACACACCUAACGGAUUAAGCAUUCCGCCUGGGGAGUACGGUCGC